AUUAUUAUUAUUAUUAUUAUUAUUAUUAUUAUUAUUAUUAUUGUUUUGUUUUGUUUUUUUGCUCUUACCUGUUUCACGCUAUCGUGAGCUGUGAGCGAGCUUCAGCUUGAACUUUUCCCUGUUGGACAGUGCAAGUUUGCAUUUUUUGACAUAUUUUAUAUUUUAUUUAUUGAGUAGAAGCUUUUUAUCCACAGCAGAGCGGUUUUCGGUUCCCAUGGUAAUUCUAAUGCCUGACUAUUUUCCCCAUUUAAUCCUCAAUAGGAUGAAAUAUUGCAGCAAUUUCUCAAUGAAUGCAUUUAUUCCUUCUGUGUAUGCGUUUAUCUGGAGUCACUAUGAAGUGAAAAAUCCAAUCCGAACAUUAUAAACUAUGGGUUUUUGGGUUUUUUUUUUUUGUUUUUUUUUUAAAAAGGAUUUCAUUCUUUCAACGGAAUUGCACAUUCAAAGUGUCAAAAUCUGAACAAGUUUAAAAAAUGUUUCUAUGAGUGUAUGUUGAAAGUGUUAUUGCAUCAUAAAAAAGACGGGCCAAUCGGUUUUCAGUAUGCAAAUGCACUCCAGAGAGCACUAGUGGAGGAUUUUGGAGGAUUUGUCUUUUUCUGUAAAAUCAGGAUUUUUUGGUUGUACGUAAAAUUGUGUGUGUUUUUCAUCUUGAUUAUGUUUUUUGUUUUUCUUGAACUGGAUUGUGGAAAAAUUGAUGAUGUAAUGCAAAGAAAAUGUAUUUACUUCAAAGCAAAUUUAAAUAUUAGGAUUGGUGAAAUUCAGUCUGUUUUCUGUAAAGUGAACCUAAACAUUAUCAAAUAUGUUUAUUAUUUGAUUUUUUUUUUUUUUUCUCUCAUUAUUUUUGGAAACUUUCUCAGGCUCCAUUCUUUUUAAGAAGCUGGAAAAAAAUCUCACUUUUACAUCAUAAAUUAGAAGGGUCAAUCAGGUUCCAGUAUGCAAAUGCGCUCCAGGGAACACUAGUGCACCAGAGAAUGGCGUUAGAGCGUGUAAGAUCUGGGACAUUUACAUAUUCGAAUCAUAUUCAUAUUAAAAAUCAGGAUUUUUAUUUGAAAUUAAUGUAAAAUAGACGGUGCUUUUCAUUGACAGUUUUUUUUUCCCCAUGAAAUGCCAUAUGGAUGAAUCGAUUGAUAGAAAAAACAAACAAAAAUUUUCUACAAAACAGCAUUGAAACGUGAGGACUGGCGAUACGUGUUUGGACUCUUACAAAUACAACCUACCUGUUCAAAAACGGCAAACUUGCAAUAAUACUAUUAAUGCCAAAAUAGAAGAAUAUACAGUAUAACCCUGCUUAUUGUAUCAACGGUAACAGCACGGAUAAACCGAGCACACCUAGGUGGACAUAAAUCGACGUGCUGAGGGUGUUUCUAAUUUUGUGGAUCCUUUCUCUCUCAACUGGUGUCAAUUAUUUCAUCAACCACCUGCGCAUCCUUUUCAAAAACGCUCUUCUCUUUUUAAAAAUACUGACAAAUACUGUAAGUGUGUGCGUUUGAAGCCCCAAUCAGGAUAGCGGGAGAAUCACUGCGCCAUAUGUUUUCCACAUUUCAGACAAACCCGUGCUCCAUUUCUAUUCAGUUCCAUGCAGCUCGAGCAUCUUUGUGCAUACGCAUCCUGACUGGGACUGUAACUGAAAAAAAAAUAAUGCAUUUUCACUCUAACGUUUGUGUAUUUAUACGUAGUAAUGUGCUGAAACCACACUUCUAUUCUCUCUCUCUCUCUCUCUCUCUCUCUCUCACUCUUUUUUUCUUUUAUUUUCUUAGUGUUUUUCUCUGGAAGAGUGUAAUUGUAAAAACGUGUUCUGUCCUUUCUAGCUACAAUCAGCAUCAGUAUUGUUUAGACGGCGGUUAUUCAGAAACACUUAGAGGUCAAGCUACGAAACGAUGAAGCUGAAGACAGAAAUAGUAUUUAUUUAAAUAAUGUCAGAUACAGAGGUGAUAUAAUACGGAAAUACUUCAUUUACGUAAAAAAAAAAAAAGAAAAGAAAAAGAAAAAUCUUUUGUGCUUGUCCACAUUAUCUGACUGCAAAGUGCUUUAUUUCUUAUCAAAAUGUGAAAUAAAGAAAUGAAAUUAUAACAAGGAUGGCAAUUCAUUUUUAUUUUUUUCCCCCAAAAGCCUGUGCUGCAGACAAACACGACAGCAUUGAAGGAGAAGGGAGUGCCAGACUGUGUGUGUGUGUGUGUGUGUGUGUGUGUGUGUG
ensembl:lncRNA